GUCACCGCCGGACGGGCGGGGCCGUGAGGGUUGGGGAACCCGGUGACCGGCCCCCUCCGAGGUGGCUCGGGGUUUAAGGGAGCCCCGGGUCGAUCGUUCCGGCGAAGGAG
ncrna:unclassified sequences Actinomyces-1 RNA